UUCACCUUGACCAAUCUGCAUUGUUGGACAACAGACAGCUACGGCGCGGCCUCCGUAGACAGCAGCACUCCUGACAUGACUGCUCACGAAACAAACCGACAUGGAGGAGGACCUUAAAACUUUUCUUCAGUCAAGGCAUGUUCCAGAAGAGGACAUUAAACAAAUGAAAGUGGAUAAGAUUGACAGAAGGGUCAUUUGUUUUAUGACAGAUGAAGAAAGGGCAAAGUAUAUCCCUUCAUAUGGUGACCGCUUGGCUGUUGUCUCAUUUUGUAGACAGAGGGAAGCAAAUUUCAACAAGGAAGGAGUUUUAAAUAGAGUUCGACAAAAGAUUGAGGCAAGACGGACAAAAAGGAAAACACCUCCUGGGGAACGACAGCAAACAUCUGUGGAAAGUUCUGGUCUAAUGGCAAGACAUAAAAACACAAAUGCAGUAAAAUCCAAGCGAAGAAUUGAAGUGGGGUGGCUGCACUUUCAAUAUGAUGAUUUUUAUCAAGUAAGGUCAAAAAUGGAGGCGGGACCAGGCAUCUGACACUAAAAAAAUACACCAGUGUUCCAGAGAUUAGGCAAAUUGCAAAGAAUUAGGUUUUUCCUGAUGGCUUGUCACCAGAGGGACCCAUUACAGACUUCACAUUUAACAUGUGCGACUUCAAAAAACAAACUGUACCUCUGGAAUCUACACUUGUGGAAUUGUAUGAACAAUGUAAACUUAAAAUGUUGAGGCUUUACCUUUGCACCAAAGAUUCUGUGCCUUCUUCAGAUUCAUCAGGGGACCAAGAGCUGUUUGAACAGUCUCAUAACAAAGACAGAACAUCUACUCAACAGAACAGACUUUCUGUCCCUUUUGCUGAGACCUCAGCUUCAAAAUACACUUUCAAGGCCCUACACCCGGAGAAGCAGGGCACUCAAGCACAUUGCAGCACCUUUUGAGAGAUGAUAAAGCAUCCCAGAGUCCACAACACCAAGCUUCACAAGAUGUUAUAGAACAUCAGGGUCCAGUAUAUGCCCUUGAUGAAGAGGUUGAAUUUUUGCAUCCAGGCUUACAUUCAACACCUGAUGCAUCAAACCAGGGAACAAUAGAGUAUUUCUAUAUAGUUGACAACACUGAAAACCCAGAUGCAAUUCAAGAUACCCAAACAAUAAUGUCCAACUUCAACAGCAUUGAUAAUCUGGAUGACACCGAGGAUUCCGGAGUGGUCCAAAUAGGGCCGAGGUCAGAUCAUUAUGAUGGCGAUCUUGCAUCUACUCUUCCAUUGAUGAACAGUCAGUCUGAGACAGAUGAUGAACGCUUUUCAGAAGCUCCAAAAGAAGAUUUACUGCAAGACAUGGUCUCUUCAUCCGUGGAAAACCUAGCAUUACCUCAAUCUUCAACUGGAGGUGUGGAAAAUCCCAAAGGGACAAGGUAUGCACAUAUCCGGCAUGCCAUGAUUCUAGAUGACCUUCUCAAUGUUUUCAUGGACAAAAGUGCAAUGGAUUUUAAAUUAAAAUGGAAUUUAAUGAUGAGAUGGUUGUUGACAACAGUUGAGUAUCCAGGGAAGUCUAUACUGCUUUCUGGGAGCAGUUCUUGGAGCUUUGUGAAGGGGAGGAGGAGAGAGUUCCAAAACUAAGACCAGACUUUUCAGAGGAUAGGUGGCAUGCACUAGGAAGAAUUUGGGCAAAAGACUGAUUGACCAUGGCAUAAUUCCAGUCAGGUUGUCCAAGGCAUUCAUUGUUGCUUCUCUACUUGGUCUUCCCUCUGUUGAAGAAGAAGUUUUGAUGUCAUCAUUUGCAAGGUAUUUGUCUAACAGUGAGCGAAUUACUAUCGAGAAGGCCCUUGAUGGUGUACUGGAGGAGGAUGAGGAGGAAAAUUUGUUGGAUUUGUUUUCACGGAUGGGUGCUCACAGCAUUCCAUCUCAGGAAAAUAUCAGGCCAGCAAUCCAAAUCAUGGCUCAUAAAGCCAUAUUACAAGAACCAAAGUACAUAAUCGACUGCUUUUCCAAAACUCGGAAAGAUGUGGCAUUAAAUCUUCCAGAUACAGCAGAUGUCCUGAGUCCAAAAAAGCAACAAACAAAAGCGUUGCUGACAUGCUGCAAACAGAUGCUCUGUACCUGUCACAGUAAGAGCAGACAACAUUUAACUGCUUGCAGAGAUACAUGAAGAAUGCAGAUCAGCACAAGCUGGAAAAAUUCUUGCGAUUUUGCUCAGGGUCUUUUGUUUUGUGCACAGAACAAAUUAAAGUAACCUUUAAUGCUGAAACAGGUUUUGGUAGAAGACCUGUUGCACACACAUGUGGAGCAAUCAUUGAUGUGCCUUAAACAUACAGCUUCUACCCUGAAUUUAGAGCAGAAUUUGACAGUAACUUAGCUAGCAACUUUCUGUUAAUGGACAUUAUUUAGGCUUUUACAUAUAAAAGCUAGUUUGACACCUUCGGUAAACUAAACCAUUCCUUUCUUGCCUUUAAUGUUAUCAUGUACCAUGUUUAUAAUAUGCUGUGUUGGUUAAACAGUUGUAUUCCUUUAUAAAUGUUUCAAAGUUCUAUAUCAAAAGGUUUAUGUGGUGAUGAACAAACAAUUCAAAGCUUGUUUCUGAUUUUGAUCAUUUUAUUUAUGGGUUCCUCCUGAGGUUUGAUCAUUACUGUUAAUGAUUUCUUGU